AAUAGCGGCGUUGUUUGACGUUAGCGACAGAAGAAGCACCGGCUAACUCCGUGCCAGCAGCCGCGGUAAUACGGAGGGUGCGAGCGUUAAUCGGAAUUACUGGGCGUAAAGCGCAUGCAGGUGGUUUGUUAAGUCAGAUGUGAAAGACCCGGGGCUCAACCUCGGAAUUGCAUUUGUAAACUGGCAGACUAGAGUACUGUAGAGGGGGGUAGGAAUUUCAGGUGUAGCGGUGAAAUGCGUAGAGAUCUGAAGGAAUACCGGUGGCGAAGGCGGCCCCCUGGACAGAUACUGACACUCAGAUGCGAAAGCGUGGGGAGCAAACAGGAUUAGAUACCCUGGUAG
rnacentral:rRNA from 1 species